AGUAGUCCAAUGCAAUACUAUAUGCAUUUUUCUUAGAGCCAACACGAUAACUUAAUAUGAUCUAUUAAAAAUUAAAAUAAAUAAAUAAAUAGGGUUUCGUAUACAAAUCGAUCGUUGUGGGAAUAUUACAAACUGGUGAUCCACACAAUAGAAUAUUGGUGGGAUAUUCGUUUUCUCUACGUAAAAGGUCAUUUUUGCUUGUGUACAUCGCGAUCCAACACUAUAGGACACUCUUAAAAGGAAAAAUAUAAUAAUAUACAUGCCAAUUUUUUCCUAGACAUAUAGAGACAUGCAAUUGUUUAAUCAUUGAACUAUAUAGUAUAGUAUGAUUCGUUUGCUGAAGAAAAAAAGAAGAACAUAUGCUUUUGUUUUUUUGUAUAAGCAUCAAACGUUUCAGUUUAUUAUUGUGUCUAAUACUGAAUAAUAACAUAGCACUAUAUAGCAGGGGGACAAGCUUUUAGAAGAAAAAAUAUCAUUACAUCGGCAGAAGAAAAGUUAUUAUUACAUCGAAAUUAAUUGUAUGGAUAAAAUGAUUAAAACAACUUAAUCUUUAGAUUAGGGAAAGCUAUUGUAAGAAGGUGGGGCAUAAUUGAUAAUAAAAAAACAUUUGACAUGUUAAUAUUCAUUCUGAUUGCGUUGCGUUUUGCCAACUAUUCUUUAGAGAUGUGUAAUAAGACUAUAAGUCUAUAAGAGUUGUAAAUGUAAAUUAAGCAUCCUUCACAAGUAUCCUAACAUGAUUACAUUCUCACCUAACUCGUUUUCUUACAACACAAAACAUUUUUUCUCUUUGAAUGAAUACAAAGCAUUUUUCAUCAAAGUUAACCUAUACUUUUAUACGGAAAUAUCCUUUUUAGCACACAUAUAUAACAAGCUACGUUCACUACUUCACUUCUUCCUUUUUUUUUUCUCUUUAACUAAAAAAAAAAAUUGGUACAGAGACUAAAGAAGACAGUACAACUGUACAACAAACGUUUAACACAUUCUCGUUUCUUACCAAAUACCAACCAUUUUUUUCUCAUUGACAUGUUAUUGUAUGUCGAUCAGUGAAGCCCUGUGGGCUUGGGCUACAGUCGGAUCAAUCAACCUCAAUAGAAAGACCAAAGCCGUGAGGAUGUUUGCUUUUUCUUCUUCUUUUUGUUUUGUUGUUACUGCAAAAGGGAAGGGAGAGUAACUGUGUGUACGUGCUCUGUUAUAUUGUAAAGGCAUGUUUGUCCCUAAGGCUUAUUUGCUUGCAAGAAGACUAGUGCAUCUGGUAUUCAGUGCGUGUAUUGCGACCUUAACUUAGUCUCUUUACCCGACACCUUAGUUCGAUGUCAGGUUAUAUUGGUUAUAUUAAGAGAGUAUGUUGGGUUUCUCUGAACAUUUUGGUUUGCUCAGUGAUUUAUAUGUAAGAGCAGUUUUUUUGUUUAAAAUGGCAAAUUUAGUGAAAACAAAAAGUGGGAUGUUUACUACAUUGGUUCACCCAAUCACCAUCAUUUACGUUAAGAGGGAAACAGUUAAAAAUAAAACUCGUCGACAGCAGGGUUCGAACCUGCGCGGGCGAAGCCCAACAGAUUUCAAGUCUGUCUCCUUAACCACUCGGACAUAUCGACUUCAUGCCAAAAUCGUAUUAUUAGAUUCUCUAAUCCCGUCGAGAGAUAAACACCUAAUUGUGGACAUGGAUCCUUAAUUUGGUUUUAUUUGAGUUAAUUACAAAUUGAAGUGUCAUGUUUGACAUAUUUUAUUCCAUUUGGAUUUAUAUGGCAUUUGGCAAUAUAAAUAAAAAAGCACGACCAUACUGCAGCAAGUCCCCACGUGAAUUAGCUUGAGUCUCUAAAUCAAGAAGUGACAGCAACAAAAUAAAAUAGUAAUAAAAAAAUAAAUGGAUGGUGUAGGAUCAAAGCAAAACCCACUCCACAUAAUUUUAUUCACUAUACCAACUUCUUGCCGCCAUGUGGACUUCUCUCUCUAAACACUGUCGCUAUCUGAACUAAAACCGAUGAGUUCAUCAACUUCAAGGAAUCAGACGGCCGCCGAAGCACAACCGUCCACGGAUGUCGUGGCGGAAGGUUCGUCGAAGAAGGUGAGGAAACCUUAUACCAUCACCAAGUCCAGGGAGAGCUGGACGGAGGAAGAGCACGACAAGUUUCUCGAAGCGCUUCAACUGUUUGAUCGAGACUGGAAAAAGAUAGAAGAUUUCGUGGGUUCCAAGACUGUUAUUCAGAUAAGGAGUCACGCUCAAAAAUACUUUCUAAAGGUUCAGAAAAACGGGACACUAGCACAUGUACCACCCCCUCGCCCUAAGCGCAAAGCAGCUCAUCCAUAUCCUCAAAAGGCAUCUAAGAGCGCUCAAAUGCAACUUCAAGUUUCAACUUCUUGGGAUGACGCAUCAAUGCUGCUAAACAGAGUUAUUUCACCACGUCAGGAACUUGCUACCUUUCGUGGACCACAAGCUGAUAUUGGACCAAAGGGUAUAUUAAAUGUUAGUAGCCCUUCGACGUCUGGUCUGGGAAGCUCAAGCCGAACAUUCUCAGGUUCUGAGAUUGUAGCAAAACAGCCUCCAGUGCUUCAUGUUGUUCCUGAUUUUUCUGAAGUUUAUAACUUCAUCGGGAGUGUGUUUGAUCCUGAAACGAGACUGGAUCACGUGGCGAAGCUCAAGGAAAUGGAUCCUAUAAAUUUCGAAACUGUCCUGUUAUUGAUGAGAAACCUUACAUUUAACUUAUCAAACCCUGAGUUCGAAUCCGCUUUGGUGGCUCUUACCCUUGCGUGAUCAAAUAUAAUCUAACCUUAGCUAGCCCGACUGUAAUGAUGCUGCAGAGGAAAGUCCUCUCAUCACAUGAGGUGAACACUGAGCUCCCAAGCGUUACCACUGGUUCCUUUUUCGAGAACUCAAAAAGCUACAAGUCAUCUUAACGAAUGUAUCAGCGAUUAGUUAUCCAGGUUUACUCGUCAAUUUUCAAUGUUUAAUGAACUUUGAGUCUUGCGUCAGUGGGAAUCACUAUCUUGUCAAUGCGUCAGGUGGGGACUGUGUGUUUAAUAGGGUUUGUUUUUUUGAGGAGAAGAAACAUGAGUGAAAUUUUUGAGCUUCAGGUUUUUGACGAGGACUAGUUCAGUGAAAGUUAUAGGUUUAAUAUAUAUAAAGCUGCGGUUGAAGACCAAUAACUUUCAAGGUAAUUGCAAUUGCAAGGCAGCCUCAUCCAGUCAUCCUCAUCAGCCGUUUAAUCUUUGCACAAAAGUCUCUUUAUAUUUUUGUUAUUGUGUGUUUAUAUGUUCAUCUGUUGAGUAAAUCUCUAGUUUAUUUUUUACCUACAUACAGAUUACAUGCUACAUGUAUGUGUUGUUAUUUUGGCUCUUCUUUGGCUUGGCAUAUCUCACUCUUCAUCACUCA